UCUAAUAUAAUAAUAUGUUAGAAAUACAUAUCCGUCGGUAAAUCAUGCACCUAUGGUAAAAAGUGGGGAUAUUCAUUAAUAAUCACCCUGUAUAUUAAGGUUACUAAAGUAUUUACCAUAAGAUAUUGCCAAAUGUGUUUACUGCGACAUUGCCACAUAGUUUUCUCACAAUCAGAUUACACGAGGAUGAUCGUUGAGAGAAAGAGAGAGAGAGAGAGAGAGAGAGAGAGAGAGAGAGAGAGAGAGAGAGAGAGAGAGAGAGAGAGAGAGAGAGAGAGAGAGAGAGAGAGAGGAAAUUAAUGGCAGAAAUAAAAAUAAAAAGGUAAAAUAAACCGCAGUCUGUGCUAAACCAACACGUCUUGUGAAGGUAAGAUGAGACAUCGAUUGGCUUGCUGAUUUAUCGCAGUAAAUCAGUAUGUUAGAUAAUAGCGCGAAUCGUGUCGACUCUACGUGUUUGCUCUCGUCACGAGUGACGCGCUCAGAUAUGUCACACGUUAACACUUCCAGUCCUUAGCUAAAGUUGUACUGAACAAAAUUGUGACCAACAAUUAUGCAAAUAUAUUCUAGAAGAUUGCAAAUAAAAGUCAGAAAAUUUCAGAGAUAGUUUUUAUGUCAAUGGGCAAUUAAAGCAAUCAAAUGUGUACCGAGGGUUUGCCUCAUAUGGCAGCAAGGAUUACUUUAAAUAUGAAAGAAACAUGAAAUAUAGUACAAAAAUAUAAAAUAACCAAAUAUAAUUAUUAUAAAUUUAUAAUUAUAUAAUUAUUAUAAAUAAAAACAGAUUAAAUUUGGGAUAGAAUCAAUUAUUAAAAGUAUAAUAUAAAUUAUUUAAAUUAGAAGACAAAAGAAAAAAAUAUUACGCGUUAAUACGAAUAACGUUAGAUUUCCAUACUUAAAAAUUCAAAUAUAAAAAUAUAAAAAGGCGCAUGCCGAAAUUAUUUUCGUUAGAUACAAAAAUUGACCUAGUUUUCUUCGUUCAAAUCGAAGAGUGGAGCUUUGCGAAUAUUCUCGCGAGUGUUCUCGAGCGAAUUCCGAAUGGCGAGAAUCAAAUAGUGCAAUAGAAUGAAUCGAUUGCGCUGAUGAUGGGUAAACACGAAGAGCGAGCUACAAUAGUAAUUACGAAUGAAAUCCCUUUGACGCUGUAACAUUCAAAAUUGUUCGUGUAAAGAACGGAACCAUCGUUGACAGAAAUCAUCACGCUAACUACAUUGUUAAACACCUUAUUAUGGGUUAAACAGAUAUCGUUAAAUUAGAUAAAUUAUUAUAUUAUCAUAUAAAUCACAUUACGCUAAGUGAAUCAUUACGUUAAAUAAAUGAUAAAUUAAACUAAGCGAAUUUCAGCGUUAUAAAUAAAUAUCUCGUGCUCGAUGACUUUCCCUAAAGAAAAAUCGAUCUGAAGAAGAAAAAGUAGAUGGCAAAAGUUGAAAUUGCUCAGAGAAUCCAUUUCUGAAGUAGGGCCCAUACGCCACGGCACGUUCAACAUAUUAAAAGCUGCAGAUCUCGAGUGGACAUAAAUUGCGGGAUAUCUGGUACGCCAAUUAAUGCAUAUGCAUUAACGCACGGUUAUUUCGCAAAAUGUCGGCCUCGUUGACAGUUUCUGCACGUUUCAUCGUUCUCCAUUGUACGUCGCGUCCCAUUGUUCUUCUUUAUCGUUCGAAAGCUAAUUAUAAUCGGCCUUUGUUAAGCGCAUAAUACGGGAAUCCUGCGCGGGCGCCGCGCGCAGAAUUUGCAUAGUCGCAACACAAACCAAAUUCAUUUAAGCGGGCACAUGCAUGCGCGCAAGCGCGCGCGAAUUACGCGCCCGGCUGAUCGAUCUCCUUUUUCGCGCCAAGUGUUUCAAUAACGCAAAUUUAAAUCCCGGAUAAAAUCAAGAGAAUUCGAGUGUACGUGUUUUAUGCCGCUUAUAUUCGUGACGUUUUGAUCCUUUAAAUCCAACAAAUUUAACCGUUCGGGAUAAACGGCGGAAUGAACGGCAACGUAUUUUGUCAUUGUUUUAUUAUCGCGCCAUUCAACAACGGAUAAUUGUUUGUUUACGCCUGUUUGUCAUAAUUCGCUAUUAUUUUAGCGCAAUAUAUAUAUAUAUAUAUAUAUAUAUAUAUAUAUAUAUAUAUAUCAAUCUGAAUUACGGCUAAAUAAACUCUCAGCUAAUUGGCGAGGAAUUUCCACGUUUACAUCGAUUGGCAGAUAAUUAAUAAUUCAAUUAACAAAAAAUCAAUAUUUGUUAUUUAUUAAUGAAAUAUUCAUGAAAUGUAAACAUGUGAAACAAAUAAACUAUGCAUCUAAUUUAAACUAUGAUAUCAAAAUUCAGAAUAAAUUCUUCUUCUAAUUUUAUAUACCAUAUAUUAUUGAAUUUAUAUUAUUUUGAUAUAAUCCGGUGUAUAUGUGUGUGUUUGUGUAAUUGUUUUCACGUUAUAGAGCGUAUAAAAUGAUAUAUAGAAUUUUGUCCUAAAUUGUUAGUCAAUUGUAAAUUAUUUCUACGCGUGCUUGUUAAACUAAUUUUUAAAAUAAAAAUAAAAAUCUGAACUGCAAAACAAAUAAAUCUAAAAUAAAAUAAAAUUGCUUUUUUGAAUAUAAAUAAGUAAAGUAAAUAUAUUAAAGAUGGAAAGUGUGUGUUGUGUGUUACGAGUAACAUCACGUUACCGUUACUCUUUUAAUAACAAUUUUAUAAUAACGAUUUAAUGAUGUUACAAUUUUUCAUUAAGGUAAUAAUAAGAUUAGAGUUUAAAUAAUCACUUUUGAAAAGCAAUUUACCAUUACGCAAUAUAAAAUGUAACUUUACUCAUUAUGUAAUGUUAACAAUUGCUAACAAAUUGCUCGCGAGUGUUCUCUUUCAAUGAGCAAUGCAUAAUGGUGAAGAAUUACUCGUCAAAAGUAAUUAUUCCAAUCUUUAUUAUAAUAGCGUUGCUAUUAUGGAAAAUUGUAACGUCAUUACCAAAUCGUUAUUAUAAAAAUAAAAUAAAGCUCACGAUGACACGUUACUUGUAACGGGUUACUUUCCAUUUCUAAAACAUAUCAAUCAAAAUAAAUCGAAAAUGAAACGUAGAGUUUAUUAAUAUAAUCUUACGCCUUUAUUUUUAUUUCCACAUUAAACUAGUUAUUUUAUUUAAAUUAAUCAUGAUAAGCGACAUUUAAUCUGCAUUUUUAAUCGAUGGGAUUUUAUCGAAGCACUACGAUUAUAUAGGUUUUCAUUAUUGGAAAGUGUAUUUAUGAGAGUAGCGGACAAACACCUUGAAUGAAGCUUGAUUAAUGGCCACUGCUAAUUGGUUCAUUUGUUCAGAGAUAUCACUAUCUGCACUGCAGGACAUUCUGCACUCUUUGAUUUUUACUAUUCAUACACCUAAUGAUAAUUUAUUUGUAACAGUUUGUUGCAUUUGUUUGCAGAACAAAAUUUUAAAACAAAACGAUUGCCUCUUAGUCUGAUAAGUAAUUAAUCAAAGUAUCUUUACGAAGAAUUUCUGUAAGAAAAAUGGUACGCAAUAGAACCGGAAAUGAAUAAAAUACGUCACAAAGUGAGAUAAAAUAAACAUACAAAUUAAUGCACUAAUCUUUUGAUUUCCAUGCUAAUUUUUCAGACAUAAAUUGUCAAGUAGGAUAAGCGACUGAUCCCAAAAAAUUUUCCAUAUAAUAGCAUGUUUAUGAUGUUAAAAAUUAUAUUAAAAUGUAAUAAAUUCAUGUAUAAACAUAUCCAUGCGUAAAUACAAUGUAAUGCUAUUUAUUUUUAUUUAUAUAAAUUUAAAAUUUCUCAAAGUAUAGUUAUAAUAACAAAACAAACAUCAUAAUUUAUGUAUUAUUUAUUUAUAUAACGAAAGACUCCUGCGUUUGUGAAUCGAAGAGUAAAAUAAAAUUAAAUAAACUUACACAUUCAUAUAUAUAUACAUAUAAUAUUUUAUUAAUAACUUUUUAUUUAUUUUGUGUGUGUGUGUGUGUGUGUGUGUGUGUGUGUGUGUGUGUGUGUGUGUGUGUGAGUGUGUGUGUGUGUGUGCGUGCGUGCGUGCGUGCGUGCGUGCGUGCGUGCGUUUGUGUGUGUGUGUGUGUGGUUAUUAACACUAACUAUUCUAAAGUCCUAAAGUAAUAGAUAGAAAAUAGUUAUUAAUUAGAAGAUUAAUUAAAGUUUAUUAAUUAAUAUCCAUUAAAAAUAUUUAUCAAUACUUAUUACAUUAUUAACUUAAAGAAACGGAAAAUAUUUGUCGUACAAACAUUUGGGAAAGUAGAGAAAUUGAAGACAUUACGAAACAUUCUGUAUAAGUAUUACGAUAGGUAUAUAAUAAGAAAGAAAUUGUCGAUUGUAACUUUUGUAUGCUGAAGCAAUAAUAUAACAAAGUUCUUAAAAUUCCUUUUGCAAACUCUGAAUGAUAUAAUGCAGGAUGUUUCAAAGGUAUCGUAGUACCAAGGUAUUUCAUUGCGCACACAAAAGUAGACAUAGCAUCAAGCGGUAAGCACGGAAUAGCGAAUCGUAAUCCAUGUCGGAAUAUGCAAAUGGUUCUUCUUUGCUAUUACAUUGCGAAGCGUAGUCGGCUGGCUGGCUUUUCCUUUGCUUCAAUGUGCGGAAAUCCUUUUGAGAAGGAAAGCCCUUUGUAUCUCAUAAUUUUAAUCAGAAUUUCUGUAUCGAGUAGGUUAACUUUGAUCAAAGUACUUUGCGUCAACCUUCAUCACAAUUUUUAAAGAUCGCUAAAUCUUAUAAAAUACAGAAAUUUGCUAAAUUGUCACGUACUGCGAGAGUUGUUUUGUACGUUGCAAGCUUGAACAUCAAGGUAACACUAUUGUUCAGAAACUGUCGUAUCAGGUGUAAACUGUAUCUUUUUAACGGCUGCUCCCAAAUUUUCAGUCACGUGCGACGCUUAGUUUCGUUUUGCUGGUCAGUUGUACGUGAUACACGUGACAGUAUAUUUUCCAAAUGGAAAAUAUCGAAUAUUGGUUUUUCAUUAAAUACUUGAAUUAAAAAUGGAAGAACUCAGUGGAAAUCAAAACCGAACUGGAUUCUGUUUACAGCGGCUGUGCUUCUUCGUUUUCAACGGUUAAAGUUUGAGUUGCUGAGCGCGUAGCCGUACUAGUGUUUGAUGAUGAGCGUCCGGGUUGCCCAAAAAAAUUGCAACGAGGAAAUAGUCGAUAAAGUGCAUCAAAUCGUACUGGAUGAUCAAAGGCUGAAGUUUAGCGAGAUAGCAAAUAUUGCGGGCGUAUCUUCUUCGUAUUUUUGAAAUAUUAUAUGAAGAUUCAGAUAUAAAAAGGAUGACCGCAUUGGUAUCGCGUUUGCUGAAACGCAUUCAACACAACAUUUCAAAAGAAGGAUCUCUUGCAUCGAUCAAUUUGUAACUGUUGACGUAACAUGGACCACUAACACACCUAAGAGCAAGAAAUAGUCAAAACAGAAAACUCCCAAACAGCCAAAAUGAAUAUUUAACAGAACAUGACAUGUUAUCUGAAAUCUAUUUUAUUGACGGAAUGAAGGGACUAGAAAAGAAACGAACCAAGUGUAUCGAGCUAAAGGAGACCUUGUAAUAAAAAUAAAACCAAUUUUGUCCGAAAAUACAGGUGUUUCAAUGUUAGACUUUCGAUGCUUAUCAAACAACUCACGUGCUGCUAAAAAAAAUACCCGGAAGGCAAUAUUGAUCGUUUACUUUGAUUGUCGUGUCGUGUAUAUUCAGAAUCCCUUCCGCAAACAGAUAAAAAAUAUUACUUAAGUGUUAUGAGGCGUUUGCGUGAGAAGAUUGGUAAAAACCGGUCGGAUUGGAGGAGAAACGGUUUAUGGAUUUUGAACCACGAUAAUGUUCCAUCUCACAUUGCACAUCGAUGGUACAAAACUUUUUGAUCGAAAACUCAAUAAAUAUCACUUCUUAAGCACCGUAUUCGACAGACUUGGCUCUAUGCGACUUUAUCCUGUUCCCAAAACUCAAAUUACCGCUUUGUGAAAAGCGUUUUGAGUCGCGAUAGAGGUUAUAAAAGAAAAUCCGCCAAAGGUGCCGGAGGCCACAGCUUCGUGGGCUUACGAAAAGUGUUUUAAAGAAUGGAUAAAGCGUUGGCACACACAUGUGCGUUGCAAAGAACGGAGAAUAUGUCGAAGACGACAAAAUAAAUUUAUCCGAUUAUAUAUCAAUUUGUGCAUUUUACUUAACAAUUUCAGAUACUUCUUUUCGAGCAGUAGAUAUCUAUCAUUUCUUUUCGUGCAACUUUCCAGUUUUAACAAUAUAACAAUAUUCUUUCAAGUUUUAAUUUAUUUCAAAAUGAAAAAAAAAAUACGAUUGUUGUAUUAUAUUUAUUUUUAUUUAAAAUUAAAUUAAAUUCUAAAUAUAAAUUUGUAUAACAGAUUUUAACAUUAAUCUUAACAUUAAGAGAGAGAGAGAGGGAUAAAAGAAAAUAAAAAGGAGGAAGAGGAAGAGAAAGAAAGCAAAUGUGAAAUAUUAAGUAAUAUCCAACGGUACAUAUUGAUAUCGAACAUCGAUAGAACUUUCAUGAGAAUUUAAUGAUACGGCGUUUGUUUUUUAUGCACAUGAUGAAUUCAAGGAUAAAUUUUCUGCCUGGCCUGUUACGGCCAAUUUAAGCUUCACAUAUCGCACCAUUGUUCUUUCACGACACGUGCGUGAAACAUAAGGAUUAUGGAUGUCGGAUAUCAACGUAUUUGUUGAUAUCCGCUAUAAAAAAAAAAAUCUACUUUUCAAGACAGUCGAUUGUUGUAAUUUCCUCACAGUUAUUUUUCGCUAAUUAAUGAAUUUGCAGUUUGCGAUAGAACAAAUACAAUAUCAGCAUUUAAAGACAACUAUUUUGUCCCAUAUUGUUUUAUCCGACAGCUAACAUUUUUGAAAUACUAAAUACUGAUUCAUUGAUUUUGAUUUUACUUGUUAUUUUAGUAAAAUGCUGUAGUAAAUUAUAGAAGCAAUAAAAAAUUAUAAUUAUACCUGCAUUAUAUUAUAUUAUUUUCAUAAAAAAAGUGAAUUUAAAAAUAAAUUUCCAAAUAAACGACGAAUUCUAAAUUAAUCGAAGAAUUCAUAGAUUAAAAGCCAGAUUAAAAGAUACCUUGUAUUGUAAAUAAAGGAAAUGAUACUAAAGUAGAUCGCGAAAUAAGAGACUCACGAGACUGAGCCCUCACAAUGUAGUGCCUUUUAUUUUUAAGAGUGGGUGCCAGACGCCGCGCCGAAAUGGUGCUUUCAUAAUCAUGUUCGUUCCUUCGAGUUAAAGGAAACGGUUUCGCGUGCUGAGAAUGUAUAUCCUUUUACUUCCACAUUGAAAGCUCUCCGAGAAGGAAAGCUUUAGAAAACCGGAAGCUCGUUGUUCGCCCUUGACUGGAUCGAACGAGAAGUCGUAUUCUCUACGUCCACGGUCAAAGAUCAUUGCCUCUCUCUCUCUCCCUCUCUCGCUUGUUCUCUUACUCUCUUAUGCCCUGAAUAGUCCACUAUUUUUAUUUCAUGUCUGAAUUUUAUCGAUUGUUGUAUUAUCGCAGUAUAAUUCGUCUAACAAUAGUGCAGAAAAGAAGUAGAGGAAAUUGUUCUCAAAUUAGAUUACCGAUUGUCAUCUUGAUAUACAAGAAACUUGAUAUAUAUAAAAAAUAAAAUUAAGAAAAUAUAAUUCUUUUGAAAUUAUUAAUUUAAAUAUUGUUAAUUAGUAGAAAAACACAUUUAAUUCUAAGAAAAGUAGGGGAGUUAAAAAUUCUUAGUCUUCUUAAAAAUUCCAUUAAGUCAUAUGAAGAUCAUUAAACACUGCCCUUGAAGAAAUGCCUUGGAGAAUACAAAGCGGGGUAGAUUUUGAGAUCUCGAUUUCGCGAUUCUUGAUAGGAUUUCUGAUAUACUGAAAAUAGGACAACGUCCCAGUCUCGUAAUCUCUUGGGGGGUUUUCCUUCCCAUCUACUAUCAAUCCCACUUUUUCGUUUCAUAUGUCUGCGAAUAGGCUUUGUCUCGAUGGCGUGUGCUUGGUUUCCAAAGGGGGCAUAAAUUGCUGGCCUAAAGAUACGAUCCUCGAAUCGGAAAGACCUAGUUCUGUGCUGUUAACCGAGACUUAGAUAGAGCGAAAAAAAAAGAACAAAAUGAGACAGCGAACUUUAAGCGAAAAAAAAAAUAGAGAUUGCUGAUUGUUAAAUAAGUUGGAAAAAGAAUUUUUGUUUCGUAGCUUAGAAAAAUGUAGGAAAUUUUUGAGAAUUACUCAACGUGACCAUCUGGGUUUCUUGUACUCAAUAAAGAAUUAAUCGCUGUUGAUUUAAAUUAAUUCGCAUUUGUUUAUGUUAUUGGCAAUCAAACGAGUAGAUAUUAAUACGUAUGAUUAAAUUAAUGUUACCUGUAUUAUUUAUUAAUAUUACUUGUUAUUUAUCAAUAUUAUUGCUCUAAUAUUAAAUGAAUAUAGAUACAAACAACAUUAAUUUACUUUUGUAAAUUUCUCUCUCUUCUUCUCUCUCUUUUCUUUUACUCGUUUACGUGUUCUAAAUGAACAUUUAAAAAUGUAGAAAUGGGGAAAAUAUUAAAUAAAAGAUUGUAUACUUAUAUAAAUAUUAAAUUUCGAAUUUCUUAUUGGUUAAUAAAUUUUUUAUUGAAAAAUUUGUUUUAAAAUAACAAUUUUACAAGUUGUGGUGUAGCAAAUUUUACACUUGUUUAUAUUUUAUCUUUCAGUAUUAACCUUGCUAUGAUUUGAUUGCAUUAGAGUGCACAAAUGCACUAGAUAUAAUAUAAAAUUAUUUUAUAAAAAACUUUAUGAUAAAAAAAUGUUAUGUUUUAUUAAAAUGACAUUACGUUAAUCAUAAAACAAAUUCAAUGUCGUUAUGUAGUUAGAUAUUAAUACUAUAUCUCUUUCUUGCUCUUUCUCUCUUUUCUUCUUUUUUUUUAAGUUAAUGCAAGACGUAUGAUCAUAUACAUAUGUUUUUAAAAUUAAUAUAUACAUGUUUGUAUAAUUCGAGGCUAUGACUUUUUAAAAAUAUAAAUUUUUAAAUUUUUAUACGAGUAUUAAAGCAAGAAAAAGAAAAGUGAGUGUAAAAACAAACUUAAGAUCAAAUUCAGAAAAUUAUGUGUAUGUGUGUGUGUGUUAAAAUUUUUUCCCACGUCAAAAAAUGUUACUUAACUUAUAUCAAAAUAAUAAAGUUAAACUUAGAAAUAAAUUUAAUGUCAAUCACUUAGGGUAUAGGUUUUCCGAUAACUACGGUUGCCAUCAACAUUGCAAUCAUCGCAAAGAUUGUUACCAACUUCGUAGUUUUAAUACUUCUUAGUUUAAAUUAAGUGAGUUGUAUAUUGACUUUUUGAUAAAGUUGUGUAUUACUUCAAAAGCGUAUGACUUUAUAUAUCACAGAUCGUGAAUUAUCUAAAGUGAUAAAACAAAUUAUCGUUUUCAAGAGUUUAUUAUUAUUUGAAUAUAUUAAAUAAAUAAUCUGUUGUAUCCAGUAAUACAUAAAAAUAGAAUAUUUUAUUAAAUAUUCAUAGUUUUAUAAUUUUAUAGUUUUGACAAAUAUGUAUGAGAGUAUCGCGCUCUCUCUUUUUUUUCAUAUAUUCACAUAUUUACAUAUUCCUUUAUUAAAGUAUGGAUUAUCAAAUAGGGAGGAGAGAAGAUAAUAAUAUAGUUUCAAAGUCACUUUCAUGAAUACUAAGAUCGAGAGAUAUACGAAACAUAUCAAGUUAUAUUUUUCUGAUAUGUAAAAUUUUUAUUAAGUAGUCGCUGUAUAAUUUUAAUGCAUUGCAUUAUGAGAGAAACCCUUUACCAUGUAUUUCUACGAACUAAAUUUCUGAAAGGGGACUUUAUUUGUUUUUAAAAUUCAACACAAAUUUGAAAUAAUAUUUGAAUAAAAAUAAGCAAAAUUACAACUGAUAUUAAAUAAAUAACACAAAUAAUGAGACAAAAGCCAUUUUUUUGAUUACAGCGGAUUUUGGUGUCUAUAUAUAAUAUUUUGACGUAAAUUUUAUAAUUUUCAGUUUAUGCAAAUUUCAAUGAAUAAGAAUCAUAUUUUUAAUAAAACAGUUUAAAAUCCAGUUUAUGAAUUUUGGUAAUUGUGCAUUGUGAAGCGCUGCAUCUUGAAAUCAAACACAAUAAUUUUGAAAUGCUGUCAAAUACAAACUACUUGAUAAAUUGAUUGAAAUUUUUACAUCAAUCUUGUAAAAGAUAAAAUUAUUCAGUGAAUUGAAAAUUAUAUGAAAAAUCAUGCCACUAAUGCGUCAUUUAAAUAAUUUCUGCCGACAUAAUCAGAACACUUUUUAGAGUGUGUACUCAAAUUUUACAAAAGAAUUCCUUGAAAAUUUCCUACUUUCAUUCAAAAUUCUAGAAAAAAUUAUCAAAUUUUUUAAUGCAGCUUUAAAAUAAACUUAUUUUAGUAUUUAUCUUUUUUUAAUCAUAUAAAGAAAAAUCAUUUAAAUUUUAAAUAUUUUAUUUAAAAAAAUACUAAAAAGAAAUAAUAUAAACUAAAUGGUAUGUAACGAUUUAUCUACAAUAAUCUAGCUCAUACAAAAGUACAGAAGUGUACAUUAAAAAACAAGUCUUAUUGCAUUAAUUAGAAAUCUGGUAGAGUCAAUCAGUACGUCUGCUGAAUAACAAACGAGUCAGAAAUCUUGUGAGAGUUACCGGAUAGAAAAAGUUUAUUAAACGUUCUAAUUAUAAUUAUAAAAUUUCAAGGUCUAUUAUAAUAACCAAAAAUUCUUUUGAUUUCACUAAAACACUCAAUCAGUGGCGUACUAAGUCCUACUUUCGGCCAGUGACAUUUUGUAUUUUAAUUUAUUUAAAAAAACCUAAUAAAUUUGUAAUUGUUAUCAGGUGUGAGUAUAUGAUAUUAGUAACGAAAUAAUAUAGCUUAAGAAUAUUGUUUGUGUUCAUAAAAAUAUUUUUUAUUAUAAUUGUCACAUUUUCAUGUACUCGUAUAAAAGUUUCCACCUUAAAUUAAUAUAUUUCACCCUUAGUAGGAUUUGAAUGAUUUGUUUAUGUAUAGUAUUCGUUUAAAGAUUACACUGUGAGUUCAUAGGAAGUCAUUGAAGCAUAAAUAUGGCAUACGCAAAUUCAAAUUCACGAGAGAGUAAUUAAAUUUUCAGAAGACGAAAAGUUUUCUCGUGAGAUUGCUUCAUUACUCUCGAUAUAAGUAAGUCAACUGUGGAUGAUAUUAUCGCUAAGUAUCGUGCUGGAUUUGUUUAAAAGAUUGCCCACUUAGCCGCAAGUCACGAGAAAUAUCUGAAAAAGUAGAUCGUGUCAUUAAACGCAAAUCAAUUACGGAUGUUAAGAAAACUCUUGCCGAGAUUGCACGCGAGCUACAGGAUGAAAAUCUUGUUGAUAUUAGCCGUAGUACUGUGAUAUACGAAGGCUACAUGAUGUAGAACUCUUUGGCCGUAUUGAAAAUAUUAUUCAGUAAACAGACUAAGAAGGCUCGAUUAUAAUUCGCCAAAGAUCACAAAAAGUAGAAAAUCGAAGAUUGAAAAAAAGUAGUUUUUUCAAACAAAUUUAAUUUUUUAGAAGCGAUGAUGAACAAUAUGUAAGUUGUUAAUUCUAUUGGUAUCAGAAAUGACGUUCGGAAAAAAUUCUUACUGUAAAGCACUAUGAUUUGGAGAAUUUUCUGUACAAGGAAUCCUGUACAGAUUCUGGUUUACUUGUUGAAAGGAUCUAUGAACGCUGCUAUUUACAAGUACAUUUUAGAAAAAAAAAAUUUGUUAACGUAUGCUAAAAAAAAUGCUACAGAAUUGGAUAUUUCAGAAGAAUAACGAUUCAACCACACAUUAAAGUUAUCAAAGGAAUAGUUUUCUGCUUAAAAUAAAAGAGUUUUAAAAGCUGACUGUCCCAAUUACUGAACUCGAACUCGAUAGAACACUGGGUAGGUCGUCAAGUUUGAAAGUGUACAGAUAAGACCGCAUUAUUUAAAUCCUUAAGGAAGAAAUGGAAUAAAAUUGCAUUUGCUUGCAUUAAUCGACUAAUUGAAUCGAUGCCAGAUUAUUAUGCCGCUGUUACCAUUACAAAAGUUAUUUUGCUACAAAAUAUUAACAUUAAAAUGUAAUUUAAAUUAAUUAAAAUGCAUUAUGAAAUAUUUGAACUAAUAAUUUUUUGCCCGUGGUACAAAGUGGCCGAUAACUUAUGCACAUGUAAAUAUGACAAUUAUAACAAUAAAUAUUUUUAUGAACGUAAACAAUAUUCUUUCACGAUGUUAUUUCGUUAUCUUAUAUUCACACCUGAUAACGAUUAAAAUUUUACUAAACGUCUUUUAAAAUAAAAUCUAGAGGCGCGGUCGCGACUCGCGCCUAUGUAGAAAAAGCGAGUCGCAGACCGACCCUCUUUUACGCGAGUCAGCCAGUUCCAAGCAUGCGAGAUUAUCAGAACUCAGUAACGGCUAAACCGAUCAAGUUCUGAGUAGUCUCAAACGAUAGCUUGGCCCCGACUUGUAUAAUAAAGUGUUUUUAUUUUUUCUCUCCGUGUCCUACGAGCCGGGAUAUCGCGACGCAAAGUUUAAAUCUCGAUUUUUACAUUUAAGAAACGUCAUCGUCGCCAAGAUUUUCUUGUCCAGUACAUAUUUUCGACACAAGGAGGUGUUUGCUACUAUAUUAUAUUAGCUAUAUUCAAUCAAUCAUGUCAUGCACCUUCAUCUAACCUGAAUAGUAGUUGUCACUUAACGCAACUGACCAUUCCGUCACGGCGAUUUCGGUGGAGCGGACAACCCUUUAAUCCGUUUUUCGCCUGGUUAAAAAUAAUUUACUAUAUUCGCAGUUCAUAAUUAACGUAACAUCAGGCUUACGAUCGAUCCCGGCAGCUUACGACCGCAUUUGACAUGAGGUUAAAUAAUUUGAGACCUGCGACUUGAAUUCACUGGGCAAGAAGAUACUGACGAAAUCUCAGAUCUGGCUGCAGUGCAACAAGUGUAAAUACACCACGCAUCAUGAUUCCUUCAUGAUGCAUCGUAUGAAAGAUCAUAACGAGGAAAAGGCAGCUGACGAGCACAUCUUCGAGAGCCAGCAGGAAAGUGAAAGACACAGUUACAGCAAAGUGAAUGACUUGGAGAACAAGGAGAAUGAAACAGAUAAUUCUGACAUUGUUAUCAAGGAUGAUAAAGCAAUCGGAGGUAACACUUUUGGAGUCGAUUCAGUCAGUUUUCCCUAUUACUCAAUCCACCCCACCACCACUUUGUUGGAUUUAUCAAAUUGUAAUCAUCUAUAUGCUUUCGAUAUAUUACCAGCGAGUAGGUAUUAUUUACUGAUUAGUUAAUACAUUACUGUAAAUUUGUCUUAAAAAGAAAUUUUUUAUUACGAAAAGUGUUGUCACGUUGUCCCAAGAACAAAUGUAUGUUCUGCAGCCGAUUGACAUGGCUGAUAUUGAAAAUUUUAUUUGAGGAAGAUGACAAGAUUGGACUCUGAUCCUGAGCAGAAAAUGGAAAUGAAGAGCGAAAGUAGAAAACGGAUAACCUUGAAAGAGGAUGGAAGUCUAGAACUGGUAGAGAUGCCUUGGAACGAGACAGAAGGAUCGAAUAUCGACACGACGAUGGUGUUUGAUUAACUGUGUAAAAAUUAAAGGCACUUUAGUA